CUCUUCCAUCCCUAGCCCCUCUGAACUCUCCUCCAUACGCAGCCUGGGUUUACCUCCCAGAGUCACACUGGUCCUGCUCUCCCACUCGUUUAGUAAAAACAAAACUCUAGAUUCCUGGUGUUUCCCUACCAUUGCGUUGGCUGGCAGGAUGCGGAAGGUGAAAGCCGGGCUAUUGCUGCUGAAGGCAGAGGCUGAGGUGUGUUCACGGCUGGAACUCAGAACUCAUUUCUCCAUAGAAACGAUGGUGUACUGUUAGAUAGGUUCUAGAGUGCAUUUAGAACUCCAGAUGAGGUAUGUGAGCCAAACGGACUUUUAUGAGUUCUCCUGGACACAUACCUACUCCUUUUAAGACAGGUGUGAGCCCCUUUGAGGGACCAGCCCACUCCACCUCUACUCCGGGACCAAGACUUCUGAGCUGUUGGGGAAACCAGGAACCCCCUUAGAGGCUCAUGAAAGAUACAAGCUCAAGACAAAGGAGAAGAAGAAAACCUUGGAAACAGAUUUCUGGUCACAAUAAAGGAGUCUGGAAUUAUAAUUUUUAA
rnacentral:lncRNA from 1 species